AUUCUCCUGCCUCUGUCUCCCAAGGAGCUGGGAUUACAGGCUGCGCCCGAGGCUAUUUAAACCCACCCUGGCUGGCCUGUACUCAGAUCUUCGCGGAGCGGAUCAGCGGCCGGAGCGUUUGGCGGACUCUGCGUGGACUUGGAGCUCACAGCGUCUUGCGACUUGGAAGCGGAUUCAGAGGACAGGACAGAACACGUGGGAUGUUCCAGCAUAAGAAGAUACCUUCUACUCAAGUCCUUGUUCCACCUUUUCAAAUCUCACUGGUCUAUUUCCCAGUGGGUUUCUAAACCAAGUAAGUACAUUUGCAAUGGUAAUAGUCACACCAGUGACUGAAGUUUUGGCCAAUCUCUCAUAAUUGAGAAAAUAACCAAAGGGAAGGCAUUGUUAAAGUGAACUAAGUAUGGCCUGAGAAGGACUCCAUAAUUCUAUAUAUGAGUCCUUGUGGAUGAACUGUAACCUACCUUAAUAGGUAUACAAGAAUGAAAAACUAACUUAAGAGUAUGCACCUGGAACAACAGCUACAUCUUGGCCAAUCCCAAUGACCAAACUUCAACCACUCAGGCACUGCCAAAUGUUCAAAAUGUGUUCAAACAAGGCAAACACUGAGUUGUUUCGGUACCUCACUUCCGAUUUCGGUAUGCUAUUUUCCUUUUGUCUAUAAAUCUUCUUCCAUCACAUGACUGCGCUGGAGUCUCUGUGAAUCUGCUGUGAUUCUGGGGACUGCAUGAUUCGUGAAUCGUUUAUUACUCUAUUAAACUCCUUUAAAGUUUUUCUUUUAACAGAACUAACACAGAAGAAUUUCCAGAUCAUGAACAGAUGUUUUGUAAUACCCAACGUUGUAACAUGAAUAGACUCUUCCUUAGAUAGCUAACCUUGUUUUUAAUAUGAAUAGACUCUCCCUUAGCUGAGAAAACCAGACAAACUCCAUUUGGCUCCUUCAUUUACAAGACAUCAAGGGCUCCCUACCCACCCCCUUUCCUCAAGGACUUUAACUUGUGCAAGCUGACUUUCAACAUAUCAAAGAGUGGAAUUAACUGAUAAAGUGCUGAGACAAGCGAUGUCUGCAGUUCCCAGCAAUUUAUUCAGAGAUAGUAUCAUAAAGCCCCACAUUUGUCUGGCAGAUAUUGCCCAGAGCCCCCUCACCUAUCACUUUG
ensembl:lncRNA novel transcript